GAGGCCAGUGUGAACCUUUUGUUUGGUUCAGUGUAUGACCUCUUUGGAUUUGGUGAGCUAAAAUCCACUUUGAUAAUCUUAUAAUUAGCUGAUAGAUCCAUUAAGGCACCACAUGGGAUGAUCGAGAAUAUUUGAUAACCUUACAAUUUUAGAGUGGACAAUUUUGACCUAGAGGGGUAUAUCAAAAAUGCGAACACAUUAUUAGAGCCAUCCGAUUUUAGCAUCACUCCCCU
rnacentral:lncRNA from 1 species